rnacentral:rRNA from 1 species
UACGUGAGGGCGCGAGCGUUGUCCGGGAUUUAUUGGGCGUAAAGAGCUCGUAGGCGGCUUGUCGCGUCGGCUGUGAAUCCCGUGGCUCAACUGUGGGCGGGCAGGCUGAUACGGGCAGGGCUGGAGUUCGGUAGGGGAGACUGGGAAUUCCUGGAUGUAGCGGUGAAAUGCGGCAGACUAGUCAGGAAGAACACCCGUGGGCGAAGGCGGUUCUCUGGGACGGUACUGACGCU